rnacentral:rRNA from 1 species
GGUUAAGCGACUAAGCGUACACGGUGGAUGCCCUGGCAGUCAGAGGCGAUGAAGGGCGUGCUAAUCUGCGAUAAGCGCCGGUAAGGUGAUAUGAACCGUUAUAACCGGCGAUACCCGAAUGGGGAAACCCAGUGUGACUCGUCACACUAUCAUUAACUGAAUCCAUAGGUUAAUGAGGCGAACCGGGGGAACUGAAACAUCUAAGUACCCCGAGGAAAAGAAAUCAACCGAGAUUCCCCCAGUAGCGGCGAGCGAACGGGGAGGAGCCCAGAGCCUGAAUCAGCAUGUGUGUUAGUGGAAGCGUCUGGAAAGGCGCGCGAUACAGGGUGACAGCCCCGUACACAAAAGCGCAUGUGCUGUGAGCUCGAUGAGUAGGGCGGGACACGUGGUAUCCUGUCUGAAUAUGGGGGGACCAUCCUCCAAGGCUAAAUACUCCUGACUGACCGAUAGUGAACCAGUACCGUGAGGGAAAGGCGAAAAGAACCCCGGCGAGGGGAGUGAAAAAGAACCUGAAACCGUGUACGUACAAGCAGUGGGAGCACCCUUUGGGGUGUGACUGCGUACCUUUUGUAUAAUGGGUCAGCGACUUAUAUUCUGUAGCAAGGUUAACCGUAUAGGGGAGCCGUAGGGAAACCGAGUCUUAACCGGGCGUUAAGUUGCAGGGUAUAGACCCGAAACCCGGUGAUCUAGCCAUGGGCAGGUUGAAGGUUGGGUAACACUAACUGGAGGACCGAACCGACUAAUGUUGAAAAAUUAGCGGAUGACCUGUGGCUGGGGGUGAAAGGCCAAUCAAACCGGGAGAUAGCUGGUUCUCCCCGAAAGCUAUUUAGGUAGCGCCUCGUGAAUUCAUCUCCGGGGGUAGAGCACUGUUUCGGCUAGGGGGCCAUCCCGGCUUACCAACCCGAUGCAAACUGCGAAUACCGGAGAAUGUUAUCACGGGAGACACACGGCGGGUGCUAACGUCCGUCGUGAAGAGGGAAACAACCCAGACCGCCAGCUAAGGUCCCAAAGUCAUGGUUAAGUGGGAAACGAUGUGGGAAGGCCCAGACAGCCAGGAUGUUGGCUUAGAAGCAGCCAUCAUUUAAAGAAAGCGUAAUAGCUCACUGGUCGAGUCGGCCUGCGCGGAAGAUGUAACGGGGCUAAACCAUGCACCGAAGCUGCGGCAGCGACACUCAGGUGUUGUUGGGUAGGGGAGCGUUCUGUAAGCCUGUGAAGGUGGCCUGUGAGGGUUGCUGGAGGUAUCAGAAGUGCGAAUGCUGACAUAAGUAACGAUAAAGCGGGUGAAAAGCCCGCUCGCCGGAAGACCAAGGGUUCCUGUCCAACGUUAAUCGGGGCAGGGUGAGUCGACCCCUAAGGCGAGGCCGAAAGGCGUAGUCGAUGGGAAACGGGUUAAUAUUCCCGUACUUGGUGUUACUGCGAAGGGGGGACGGAGAAGGCUAUGUUGGCCGGGCGACGGUUGUCCCGGUUUAAGCGUGUAGGCUGGUUUUCCAGGCAAAUCCGGAAAAUCAAGGCUGAGGCGUGACGACGAGGCACUACGGUGCUGAAGCAACAAAUGCCCUGCUUCCAGGAAAAGCCUCUAAGCAUCAGGUAACAUCAAAUCGUACCCCAAACCGACACAGGUGGUCAGGUAGAGAAUACCAAGGCGCUUGAGAGAACUCGGGUGAAGGAACUAGGCAAAAUGGUGCCGUAACUUCGGGAGAAGGCACGCUGACACGUAGGUGAAGUGAUUUACUCAUGGAGCUGAAGUCAGUCGAAGAUACCAGCUGGCUGCAACUGUUUAUUAAAAACACAGCACUGUGCAAACACGAAAGUGGACGUAUACGGUGUGACGCCUGCCCGGUGCCGGAAGGUUAAUUGAUGGGGUCAGCGCAAGCGAAGCUCCUGAUCGAAGCCCCGGUAAACGGCGGCCGUAACUAUAACGGUCCUAAGGUAGCGAAAUUCCUUGUCGGGUAAGUUCCGACCUGCACGAAUGGCGUAAUGAUGGCCAGGCUGUCUCCACCCGAGACUCAGUGAAAUUGAACUCGCUGUGAAGAUGCAGUGUACCCGCGGCAAGACGGAAAGACCCCGUGAACCUUUACUAUAGCUUGACACUGAACAUUGAGCCUUGAUGUGUAGGAUAGGUGGGAGGCUUUGAAGCGUGGACGCCAGUCUGCGUGGAGCCAACCUUGAAAUACCACCCUUUAAUGUUUGAUGUUCUAACGUGGACCCGUAAUCCGGGUUGCGGACAGUGUCUGGUGGGUAGUUUGACUGGGGCGGUCUCCUCCUAAAGAGUAACGGAGGAGCACGAAGGUUGGCUAAUCCUGGUCGGACAUCAGGAGGUUAGUGCAAUGGCAUAAGCCAGCUUGACUGCGAGCGUGACGGCGCGAGCAGGUGCGAAAGCAGGUCAUAGUGAUCCGGUGGUUCUGAAUGGAAGGGCCAUCGCUCAACGGAUAAAAGGUACUCCGGGGAUAACAGGCUGAUACCGCCCAAGAGUUCAUAUCGACGGCGGUGUUUGGCACCUCGAUGUCGGCUCAUCACAUCCUGGGGCUGAAGUAGGUCCCAAGGGUAUGGCUGUUCGCCAUUUAAAGUGGUACGCGAGCUGGGUUUAGAACGUCGUGAGACAGUUCGGUCCCUAUCUGCCGUGGGCGCUGGAGAACUGAGGGGGGCUGCUCCUAGUACGAGAGGACCGGAGUGGACGCAUCACUGGUGUUCGGGUUGUCAUGCCAAUGGCACUGCCCGGUAGCUAAAUGCGGAAGAGAUAAGUGCUGAAAGCAUCUAAGCACGAAACUUGCCCCGAGAUGAGUUCUCCCUGAGACUUUAGGUCUCCUGAAGGAACGUUGAAGACGACGACGUUGAUAGGCCGGGUGUGUAAGCGCAGCGAUGCGUUGAGCUAACCGGUACUAAUGAACCGUGAGGCUUAACCUU